rnacentral:rRNA from 1 species
GACGAACGCUGGCGGCGUGCUUAACACAUGCAAGUCGAGCGGUAAGUCCCUUCGUGGUACACGACCGGCGAACAGGUCAUUAACACGUGCGUUAUCUUCCCAUCACUUCGUGAUAACUCCGGGGAACCGGUGCUAAUACCGAAUAUGACCACUUCAUGCAUCUGAUGGUGCUGGAAAGUUACGGCGGGGAUGUAUGGGCUCGCGUCCUAUCAGCUUGUUGGUGGGGUAGUGGCCUACCAAGGCUUCGACGGGUAGCCUGCCUGUGAGGGUGACCGGCCACGCUGGGAUUGAGCAGAGGCACAGACCACUACGGGACGGAGCAGUGGAGAAUAGUGGACUAUGCGAGAAAGCAUACUCUAGCAAAGCCGCGUGAGGGAUGCCGGGAAUCGGGUUGUAAACCUAUUUCAGCAGGGACGAAGAGAAAGUGACGGUACCUGCAGAAGAAGCACCGGCCAACUACGUG